UAUCUCUGUAGAGUCUGCAUAUCAAUAAGCGGAGGAAAAGAAACUAACUAGGAUUCCCUCAGUAACGGCGAGUGAAGCGGGAAGAGCUCAAAUUUGAAAUCUUCAAGGUUCUACCUUGACGAAUUGUAGUUUAAUAGAAGUGUUUUCUGUUAGAGAGGUGGUAAAAGUUCUUUGGAAUAGGACAUCAUAGAGGGUGAGAAUCCCGUAUUUGAUCACUUUCUACUAACGUUGUGAUACACUUUCAACGAGUCGGAUUGUUUGGGAAUGCAGUCCAAAAUGGGUGGUAAAUUUCAUCUAAAGCUAAAUAUUGGCGAGAGACCGAUAGCGAACAAGUACCGUGAGGGAAAGAUGAAAAGAACUUUGAAAGGAGAGUUAAACAGUACGUGAAAUUGUCAAAAGGGAAGCGUUUGACACCAGUGUUGUUUUUCCGAAAAUCAAUUACGAAUGGCGGGAUUCUAAGUUUCAUGACCUUAAAAGCUUGUUUCUUUCUUUUCCUGUCUUUCUUAAUGCACUUUUCGGUUAACAAGUCAACAUCAAUUUCUUUUGUUGUGAAAGGUUAAGAGGAAGGUGGCUUUACUUUCGGGUAAAGUGUUUAUAGCCUUUUAACUCUGCAAUCGGAGGGAUUGAGGUCUGCAGCGUAGAUCCUUCGGGGCUAGAUACGUUUGUGCUAAGUUAUAGCUUUUCAUAGACAACUUGUUGACUAUGUUUAGUCUUGUAGCUUACUCGCAGAUGCUAUUUUACCUACGCUUAGGAUGUUGAUGUGAUACUGCGAGCA
rnacentral:rRNA from 1 species